CUGAAAUAACUGGCUUCAUUCAUUCGUCGUCUUGCCGUGGGUGGAGGUGCUGGAGGACUCGUUUAAGUGGUGUGAGGCCUCGUGAGGAGCCUCGUGAGCUGCCUCGAGGCGUCAUGAAGCAGCUGGUCCCGGGUGGCUGGCUAGACAGACACACUAACAUAUCAAGUUACUCGCCAGCCACCACCACCACUACCACCACCUACACAACCCAUAAUCUACCAAAGUGCUAAAUGUUUGGUUGUAAAGUAGAAAUUUCACGCCCUGCUUGACAAAUCUCGUCGUGUCAACAAGCAUCAGUUUAUCCCUAAGAGGCAUUCAGAUUUCAAGUGUUGUAGUGGACACUACUUGACUUGGCGGCUGGGUGAGAGAGGCAGACCAGGCCAAUCAGAGGCCAUUGAGGCCAGUAGCAUGUGAGGAGGGCAAGACAAAUGGUUUUCUUUCGAUUAGCACCCGCCCCAACAGUACCAACAGUACCCAUCAACCACACAGAGCGUGUGGAGGAAGGGGUCUGACAGAAAAAGUCUCUCAAUCCGACCCUGGUGGCAACCUUAACACACACUUGAUCCAUCGCUUGGCCUGGAGGAGAAACAGUGAUGGAGGAAUUGGUGACCUGACCAUCGUUGUUGGUGUUCACAUCCCGCACGUCCUCACUCAACGCUGGUGUCCAGGUAGGCCAUGUGCGUCGCUUAAUCUGCAUCACUCUCGCCCCAGCUGAUGUCCAGGUAGGCCACGCUCCGCCAUUCCACCUCCUGCCUCCACGUCGCUUCAACCCUGCUGUGCAAAGCCACCUUCACCCCCAGCCCUAAGAAGCACAAUUUCCUGCCUUUCAAAGAUAAGCUUGAGCUUAUAAGAAAGUGAGAUUAGAUGCCAUACAAUGACGUGUUCUGCGGCUGGUGAGGAAGGAUGGACAGCAGCAGGAGCAGACAGGAGUCAUGUUGCUGGAGCAUUGGAAGAAUUUGUCGGUGUUGGUGGUGCAGCAUAAGGACCAGGUGCUGGAGGUAUUUCAUCUUAACUCACUGAAGCUUUCAUCACAUGGACUGUCUGGAGGGAGAUCAGGACAACCACCUCCAAUGACACAUGCUCAAUCUCACUCAAGGCAGCACCAGUGCUCCUACAUAGCAAGAAUAGCAAGACCAUGGAACUUGUUCACGGCAGUAAUGUGAUAUACAGACAGUGACGAUACAGCAAGUGAAAGUGGCUGCACCCAGGUGGCAAAAAACACAAACUCCCACAUUAGUGCUGUGAUAGCCAAGUAACAAGUUCUUUUAUGUGGAAGUGCAGGCAUUUUAAAUAGUACAUGAAAAAUGUGCUCCUUUAAGCCUCUGUAAUUUAGUUCAAAUAAAAAAAAAAGGUCAAAGUCAUGGGGAGAAGACCUAUGUGUGAUUGCUCCAGUAGCAGGGACAUAUAUGGGACUUCAUUCAGUUUAGAUAUUAGUGUUUCCCUUAUUCAAGAUCUCUAGAAUUAUUGGUAUUUAAGUGGAAACAGCAACAUAACACUGUCAGCUAGUGGAGUGUACUGUGUUCUCCAAGGCCUUGCUUGGUCCUCUGUACGGCUGGAGGCACCAACAUUGUGAAGUGUGUAGCAGGGUUUACUAUAUGUAUACGCAGUGACACUGGAAGUGUACACACACACACACACAGAGAGAGAGAGAGAGAGAGAGAGAGAGAGAGAGAGAGAGAGAGAGAGAGAGAGAGAGAGAGAGAGAGAGAGAGAGAGAGA